UACGUAGGUGGCAAGCGUUGUCCGGAUUUACUGGGUGUAAAGGGCGUGUAGACGGGCCGGUCAGUCAGAUGUGAAAUACCGCGGCUUAACCGCGGGGCUGCAUUUGAAACUGCCGGUCUUGAGUGCGGGAGAGGAAAGCGGAAUUCCUAGUGUAGCGGUGAAAUGCGUAGAUAUUAGGAGGAACACCAGUGGCGAAGGCGGCUUUCUGGACCGUAACUGACGUUGAGGCGCGAAAGCGUGGGUAGCAAACAGGAUUAGAAACCCUUGUAGUCC
rnacentral:rRNA from 1 species